rnacentral:lncRNA from 1 species
CAGAAGUUAUAAAACCCCUGAGCUGGAAAGCUUUUUGACAGGAGUUUCAAACGUAGGGGCCCCCUUUUUUUUCCAGUGGUUUUUUUUAAGCUUUGAGCAAUAUGUAGGCUGUGUGCAUUCAUUUGCAUAAAUGAAGGAUUGGGAGGACACCCAUCAACUGCUAACAGUAUUUCUGUGAAGGGCCCUUGGUACCUGCCUCUUUGGAAGGCACCUCCGGUCACAUCAGGAGCAUGGAUGGGGCCCCACCUGCAUACACAUGGAGAUGGACUCAUCCUCCAGCUACUUUGGAUACCGUGGCUCCCAUUUUUCUACUUUCUCUGAAGGAUUGAAGCCACCUUGCCCAGAAGUCACUGGGAGUUAUGCCUCCUCCCUAAGGAUGGCCCACAGCCAGUGCCUCAUUGGAGCAAGAGAGUGAAAGCUAGUUCAGAAGAAGGAUCAUGGAACCUGAAAUAGGCCUUUU